rnacentral:rRNA from 1 species
UUAGUGGCGGGACGGGUGGAGUAACGACGNGAAACGUACGCCGUAUACUGGGGGAUAACACUUAGAAAUAGGUGCUAAUACCGCAUAAGCGCACAGCUUCGCAUGAAGCGGUGUGAAAAACUCUGGUGGUAUACGAUGGUUCCGCGUCUGAUUAGCUAGUUGGUGGGGUAAUGGCCUACCAAGGCAACGAUCAGUAGCCGGCCUGAGAGGGUGAACGGCCACAUUGGGACUGAGACACGGCCCAAACUCCUACGGGAGGCAGCAG